GGAGGGUGUAGCUCAGUGGUAGAGCGCAUGCUCUUCAUGCACGAGGUCCUGGGUUCAAUCCCCAGCACCUCCU
rnacentral:tRNA from 1 species